AGCUCCAAUAGCGUAUAUUAAAGUUGUUGCAGUUAAAAAGCUCGUAGUUGGAUUUGUGGCGUGCGCCGUGGCGUCCAUUUGUUUGGUUCAGCCGUGGCCGUGCCAUCCUUGGGUGGAUCCAGUGUGGCAUUAGGUUGUCGUGCUGGGGAUGCCCAUCGUUUACUGUGAAAAAAUUAGAGUGUUCAAAGCAGGCUUAUGCCGUUGAAUAUAUUAGCAUGGAAUAAUAAGAUAGGUCUUUGGUCCUAUUUUGUUGGUUUGCGGGCCGGAGAAAUGAUUAACAGGGACAGUUGGGGGUAUUCGUAUUCCAUUGUCAGAGGUGAAAUUCUUGGAUUUCUGGAAGACGAACUACUGCGAAAGCAUUUACCAAGGAUGUUUUCA
rnacentral:rRNA from 1 species